GAAAGGCGCUUUCGGGUGUCGCUGAUGGAUGGACCCGCGGUGCAUUAGCUAGUUGGUGAGGUAACGGCUCACCAAGGCGACGAUGCAUAGCCGACCUGAGAGGGUGAUCGGCCACAUUGGGACUGAGACACGGCCCAAACUCCUACGGGAGGCAGCAGUAGGGAAUCUUCGGCAAUGGACGAAAGUCUGACCGAGCAACGCCGCGUGAGUGAAGAAGGUUUUCGGAUCGUAAAACUCUGUUGUUAGAGAAGAACAAGGAUGAGAGUAACUGUUCAUCCCUUGACGGUAUCUAACCAGAAAGCCACGGCUAACUACGUGCCAGCAGCCGCGGUAAUACGUAGGUGGCAAGCGUUGUCCGGAUUUAUUGGGCGUAAAGCGAGCGCAGGCGGUUUCUUAAGUCUGAUGUGAAAGCCCCCGGCUCAACCGGGGAGGGUCAUUGGAAACUGGGAGACUUGAGUGCAGAAGAGGAGAGUGGAAUUCCAUGUGUAGCGGUGAAAUGCGUAGAUAUAUGGAGGAACACCAGUGGCGAAGGCGGCUCUUUGGUCUGUAACUGACGCUGAGGCUCGAAAGCGUGGGGAGCAAACAGGAUUAGAUACCCUGGUAGUCCACGCCGUAAACGAUGAGUGCUAAGUGUUGGAGGGUUUCCGCCCUUCA
rnacentral:rRNA from 1 species